rnacentral:tRNA from 2 species
GGCCAGGUAGCCAAGUAGCAAGGCAGCGCUCUGCAAAAGCGCUAUACAGGGGUGCAAGUCCCCUCCUGGUCUCAA